AGAGUUUGAUCCUGGCUCAGGAUGAACGCUAGCGGCAGGCCUAAUACAUGCAAGUCGAACGGGAUCUACUGGUAAGCUUGCUUAUUGGUAGUGAGAGUGGCGCACGGGUGCGUAACGCGUGAGCAACCUACCCUUGUCAGGGGGAUAGCCCGGCGAAAGUCGGAUUAAUACCGCAUGACAUCAUUNGAGAGGCAUCUUUCGAUGAUCAAAGAUUUAUCGGACAAGGAUGGGCUCGCGUGACAUUAGCUAGUNUGGUAAGGUAACGGCUUACCAAGGCUGCGAUGUCUAGGGGCUCUGAGAGGAGAAUCCCCCACACUGGUACUGAGACACGGACCAGACUCCUACGGGAGGCAGCAGUAAGGAAUAUUGGUCAAUGGACGGAAGUCUGAACCAGCCAUGCCGCGUGCAGGAAGACGGCCCUAUGGGUUGUAAACUGCUUUUAUACGGGAACAAACGUCGGUACGUGUACCGGUCU
rnacentral:rRNA from 1 species